rnacentral:rRNA from 1 species
UACAGAGGGCGCGAGCGUUGUCCGGAAUCACUGGGCGUAAAGGGCGCGUAGGUGGCCACCUUAAGGCCGCGGUGAAAGUUCGGGGCUCAACCCCGGAUCGGCCGCGGCGACUGUGGGGCUCGGGUACUGUAGAGGCAGAUGGAAUUCCUGGUGUAGCGGUGAAAUGCGCAGAUAUCAGGAGGAACACCGGUGGCGAAGGCGGUUCUCUGGGCAUUACCUGACGCUGAGGAGCGAAAGUGUGGGGAGCGAACAGG